GCCUUCUUGGCUCAGUUGGUUAGAGCGCAGGUCUCAUAGAAAUAUGACGUAAUGUUGAUUACGUAAUCCUGAGGUCGUGAGUUCGACCCUCACAGAGGGCA